rnacentral:rRNA from 1 species
CGGUGAGGAAAAGGGGGGCAGGGCAGCCACAGGCUGUCGAGCGGUAAGAAGGUGCUUGCACCUCUUGAGAGCGGCGGACGGGUGAGUAAAGCUUAGUGAAUCUGCCUGGUAGUGGGGGAUAACGCUCGGAAACGGACGCUAAUACCGCAUACGUCCUACGGGAGAAAGCAGGGGACCUUCGGGCCUUGCGCUAUCAGAUGAGCCUAGGUCGGAUUAGCUAGUUGGUGAGGUAAUGGCUCACCAAGGCGACGAUCCGUAACUGGUCUGAGAGGAUGAUCAGUCACACUGGAACUGACACACGGUCCAGACUCCUACGGGAGGCAGCAGUGGGGAAUAUUGGACAAUGGGCGAAAGCCUGAUCCAGCCAUGCCGCGUGUGUGAAGAAGGUCUUCGGAUUGUAAAGCACUUUAAGUUGGGAGGAAGGGCAUUAACCUAAUACGUUAGUGUUUUGACGUUACCGACCGAAUAAGCACCGGCUAACUCUGUGCCAGCAGCCGCGGUAAUACAGAGGGUGCAAGCGUUAAUCGGAAUUACUGGGCGUAAAGCGCGCGUAGGUGGUUCGUUAAGUUGGAUGUGAAAUCCCCGGGCUCAACCUGGGAACUGCAUUCAAAACUGUCGAGCUAGAGGAUGGGUAGAGGGUGGUGGAAUUUCCUGUGUAGCGGUGAAAUGCGUGAAUAUAGGAAGGAACACCAGUGGCGAAGGCUACCACCUGGGACUGAUACUGACACUGAGGUGCGAAAGCGUGGGGAGCAAACAGAUGAGAUACCCUGGUAUCCACGCCGUAAACGAUGUCAACUAGCCCUUGGGAGCCUUGAGCUCUUACUGGCGCCCUAACGCAUUAAUUUGACGCCUGGGGAGUACGGCCGCAAGGUUAAAACUCAAUGAAUUGACCGGGGGCCCGCACCAACGGUGGAGCAUGUGGUUUAAUUCAAACAACGCAAAGAACCUUACCACGCCUUGACUUCCACUGAACUUUCCAAUGUGAAUUGGUGCCUUCGGCAGAUUAGAGACAGAGUGCUGCAAUGACUGGUCGGUCAGCUUCGUGGUCUCGGAGACGGUUGGGGGUUAAGGUCCCUAUACAGGCCGGAACCCUCUGUCCUUAGUUACCGAUGGCACUGAGUGGCUUGGUCCUCUCUACGCGUACACUGACCGACUGACACAGCCGGCACGCACGGUUGGGGAAUGAAACGGUCCAAGUUCACAUUUCUUUG